rnacentral:sRNA from 1 species
UGUUGCAGCCCAGUUUUUGGGCGUUUCCUCCCUAGACUUUGGGCCGUACCGAUUGCUGGUACGGCCUUUUUUUUGUCUCGA